rfam:Puccinia triticina 1-1 BBBD Race 1 supercont2.4, whole genome shotgun sequence.
GCCUUAAUAGCUCAGUGGUAGAGCGUUCCACUCGUACAUCUGUUGCAUGUCGUCAGUACUGUUGAUCAUGGAAAGGUCUGGUGUUCAAUCCACCAUUGAGGCA